rnacentral:rRNA from 1 species
GUCGACGGUGUCUUCGGACAUAGUGGCGCACGGGUGCGUAACACGUAUGCAACCUACCUUACAUUGGGGGAUAGCCUUUCGAAAGGGAGAUUAAUACCGCAUAAGACAGUAGCUGGGCAUCCAGCAGCUGUUAAAGAUUUAUCGAUGUAAGAUGGGCAUGCGUCCAAUUAGUUAGUUGGCGAGGUAACGGCUCACCAAGACUUUGAUUGGUAGGGGAACUGAGAGGUCAAUCCCCCACACUGGCACUGAGAUACGGGCCAGACUCCUACGGGAGGCAGCAGUAGGGAAUAUUGGGCAAUGGACGCAAGUCUGACCCAGCCAUGCCGCGUGCAGGAUGAAGGCGUUAUGCGUUGUAAACUGCUUUUAUACAGGAAGAAACGACUCUUGCGAGAGGCAUUGACGGUACUGUAUGAAUAAGCACCGGCUAACUCCGUGCCAGCAGCCGCGGUAAUACGGAGGGUGCAAGCGUUGUCCGGAUUUAUUGGGUUUAAAGGGUGCGCAGGUGGUUUAUUAAGUCAGUGGUGAAAGACGGUCGCUCAACGAUUGCAGUGCCAUUGAAACUGGUAGACUUGAGUAAAGUAGAGGUGGGCGGAAUUGAUAGUGUAGCGGUGAAAUGCAUAGAUAUUAUCAAGAACUCCAAUUGCGUAGGCAGCUCACUUGGCUUUUACUGACACUCAUGCACGAAAGUGUGGGUAUCAAACAGGAUUAGAUACCCUGGUAGUCCACACUGUAAACGAUGAUAACUAGGUG